UACGUAGGGUGCGAGCGUUGUCCGGAAUUAUUGGGCGUAAAGAGCUUGUAGGCGGUUUGUCGCGUCUGCCGUGAAAAUUCGAGGCUCAACCUCGAACUUGCGGUGGGUACGGGCAGACUAGAGUGUGGUAGAGGAGACUGGAAUUCCUGGUGUAGCGGUGAAAUGCGCAGAUAUCAGGAGGAACACCGAUGGCGAAGGCAGGUCUCUGGGCCACUACUGACGCUGAGAAGCGAAAGCAUGGGGAGCGAACAGG
rnacentral:rRNA from 1 species